GUACUUUUACCUUUAUAUGUAUGGUAGUACAUAUACUAAAAUUGGAAAGAAUCAAAGAAAAUUAGCAUGGCACCUGUAGAAACUCACAAAACAUUCCAUAUUUUU
ensembl:snRNA U6 U6 spliceosomal RNA